rnacentral:rRNA from 1 species
UUAAGCGACUAAGCGUACACGGUGGAUGCCCUGGCAGUCAGAGGCGAUGAAGGACGUGCUAAUCUGCGAAAAGCGUCGGUAAGGUGAUAUGAACCGUUACAGCCGGCGAUGUCCGAAUGGGGAAACCCAGUGUGAUUCGUCACACUAUCGUUAACUGAAUACAUAGGUUAACGAGGCGAACCGGGGGAACUGAAACAUCUAAGUACCCCGAGGAAAAGAAAUCAACCGAGAUUCCCCCAGUAGCGGCGAGCGAACGGGGAGCAGCCCAGAGUCUGAAUCAGCUUGUGUGUUAGUGGAACGGUCUGGAAAGUCCGACGGUACAGGGUGAUAGUCCCGUACACCAAAAUGCACAGGCUGUGAACUCGAAGAGUAGGGCGGGACACGUGGUAUCCUGUCUGAAUAUGGGGGGACCAUCCUCCAAGGCUAAAUACUCCUGACUGACCGAUAGUGAACCAGUACCGUGAGGGAAAGGCGAAAAGAACCCCGGCGAGGGGAGUGAAAAAGAACCUGAAACCGUGUACGUACAAGCAGUGGGAGCACCUUCGGGUGUGACUGCGUACCUUUUGUAUAAUGGGUCAGCGACUUAUAUUCUGUAGCAAGGUUAACCGUAUAGGGGAGCCGCAGGGAAACCGAGUCUUAACUGGGCGUUAAGUUGCAGGGUAUAGACCCGAAACCCGGUGAUCUAGCCAUGGGCAGGUUGAAGGUUGGGUAACACUAACUGGAGGACCGAACCGACUAAUGUUGAAAAAUUAGCGGAUGACUUGUGGCUGGGGGUGAAAGGCCAAUCAAACCGGGAGAUAGCUGGUUCUCCCCGAAAGCUAUUUAGGUAGCGCCUCGUGAACUCAUCUUCGGGGGUAGAGCACUGUUUCGGCUAGGGGGUCAUCCCGACUUACCAACCCGAUGCAAACUACGAAUACCGAAGAAUGUUAUCACGGGAGACACACGGCGGGUGCUAACGUCCGUCGUGAAGAGGGAAACAACCCAGACCGCCAGCUAAGGUCCCAAAGUCACAGUUAAGUGGGAAACGAUGUGGGAAGGCACAGACAGCCAGGAUGUUGGCUUAGAAGCAGCCAUCAUUUAAAGAAAGCGUAAUAGCUCACUGGUCGAGUCGGCCUGCGCGGAAGAUGUAACGGGGCUAAACUGUGCACCGAAGCUGCGGCAGCGACACUAUGUGUUGUUGGGUAGGGGAGCGUUCUGUAAGCCUGCGAAGGUGGCCUGUGAGGGUUGCUGGAGGUAUCAGAAGUGCGAAUGCUGACAUAAGUAACGAUAAUGCGGGUGAAAAGCCCGCACGCCGGAAGACCAAGGGUUCCUGUCCAACGUUAAUCGGGGCAGGGUGAGUCGACCCCUAAGGCGAGGCCGAAAGGCGUAGUCGAUGGGAAACAGGUUAAUAUUCCUGUACUUGGUGUUACUGCGAAGGGGGGACGGAGAAGGCUAUGUUAGCCGGGCGACGGUUGUCCCGGUUUAAGCAUGUAGGCGGAGGUUCCAGGUAAAUCCGGUACCUUUUUAACGCUGAGGUGUGAUGACGAGGCACUACGGUGCUGAAGUAACAAAUGCCCUGCUUCCAGGAAAAGCCUCUAAGCAUCAGGUAACAUUAAAUCGUACCCCAAACCGACACAGGUGGUCAGGUAGAGAAUACCAAGGCGCUUGAGAGAACUCGGGUGAAGGAACUAGGCAAAAUGGUGCCGUAACUUCGGGAGAAGGCACGCUGAUAUGUAGGUGAAGCCCCUGCGGGUGGAGCUGAAAUCAGUCGAAGAUACCAGCUGGCUGCAACUGUUUAUUAAAAACACAGCACUGUGCAAACACGAAAGUGGACGUAUACGGUGUGACGCCUGCCCGGUGCCGGAAGGUUAAUUGAUGGGGUUAUCCGUAAGGAGAAGCUCUUGAUCGAAGCCCCGGUAAACGGCGGCCGUAACUAUAACGGUCCUAAGGUAGCGAAAUUCCUUGUCGGGUAAGUUCCGACCUGCACGAAUGGCGUAAUGAUGGCCAGGCUGUCUCCACCCGAGACUCAGUGAAAUUGAACUCGCUGUGAAGAUGCAGUGUACCCGCGGCAAGACGGAAAGACCCCGUGAACCUUUACUAUAGCUUGACACUGAACAUUGAGCCUUGAUGUGUAGGAUAGGUGGGAGGCUUUGAAGCGUGGACGCCAGUCUGCGUGGAGCCAACCUUGAAAUACCACCCUUUAAUGUUUGAUGUUCUAACGUUGGCCCCUGACCGGGGUUGCGGACAGUGUCUGGUGGGUAGUUUGACUGGGGCGGUCUCCUCCCAAAGAGUAACGGAGGAGCACGAAGGUUAGCUAAUCCUGGUCGGACAUCAGGAGGUUAGUGCAAUGGCAUAAGCUAGCUUGACUGCGAGCGUGACGGCGCGAGCAGGUGCGAAAGCAGGUCAUAGUGAUCCGGUGGUUCUGAAUGGAAGGGCCAUCGCUCAACGGAUAAAAGGUACUCCGGGGAUAACAGGCUGAUACCGCCCAAGAGUUCAUAUCGACGGCGGUGUUUGGCACCUCGAUGUCGGCUCAUCACAUCCUGGGGCUGAAGUAGGUCCCAAGGGUAUGGCUGUUCGCCAUUUAAAGUGGUACGCGAGCUGGGUUUAGAACGUCGUGAGACAGUUCGGUCCCUAUCUGCCGUGGGCGCUGGAGAAUUGAGGGGGGCUGCUCCUAGUACGAGAGGACCGGAGUGGACGCAUCACUGGUGUUCGGGUUGUCAUGCCAAUGGCAUUGCCCGGUAGCUAAAUGCGGAAGAGAUAAGUGCUGAAAGCAUCUAAGCACGAAACUUGCCCCGAGAUGAGUUCUCCCUGAGACUUUAAGUCUCCUGAAGGAACGUUAAAGACGAUGACGUUGAUAGGUCGGGUGUGUAAGCGUAGCGAUACGUUGAGCUAACCGAUACUAAUGAACCGUGAGGCUUAACCUU